AGAGUUUGAUCAUGGCUCAGAACGAACGCUGGCGGCGCGUUUUAAGCAUGCAAGUCGAACGGUAAUAGAGUGCUUGCACUCUAUGAGAGUGGCGGACGGGUGAGUAACACGUAGAUAAUCUGCCCUUGGAUUGGGGAUAGCAUAUGGAAACAUAUGGUAAUACCGAAUAAGCUCCUAACUACUAAAGUAGAAUGGAGGAAAGGUGCUUAGGCACCGUCCGGGGAUGAGUCUGCGGCUCAUUAGCUAGUUGGUGGGGUAAAGGCCUACCAAGGCAAUGAUGAGUAGCCGGCCUGAGAGGGUGGACGGCCACACUGGGACUGAGACACGGCCCAGACUCCUACGGGAGGCAGCAGCUAAGAAUCUUCCGCAAUGGGGGAAACCCUGACGGAGCGACGCCGCGUGAACGAAGAAGGCGGAAACGUUGUAAAGUUCUUUUCUUGAGGAGGAAUAAGCAUAGCAGGUAAUGGCUGUGUGAUGACGUUAAUCGAGGAAUAAGCCCCGGCUAAUUACGUGCCAGCAGCCGCGGUAACACGUAAGGGGCAAGCGUUGUUCGGAAUUAUUGGGCGUAAAGGGCGCGUAGGCGGCUUUACAAGUCUGGUGUGAAAUAUCUCAGCUUAACUGAGGGAAUGCGCUGGAAACUGUAAGACUAGAAUCUAGGAGGGGAAGCUGGAAUUCCUGGUGUAGGGGUGAAAUCUGUAGAUAUCAGGAAGAACACCGGUGGCGGAGGCGAGCUUCUGGCCAUAGAUUGACGCUGAGGCGCGAAAGCGUGGGGAGCGAACAGGAUUAGAUACCCUGGUAGUCCACGCUGUAAACGAUGUGCACUAGGUGUUGGCCCUGCUGGUAAAUUGAGUUGAGAGCUCACUUAUUUGAAGAAGUUAACCUGGAGGCGAAAAUCUUCAGUUAGUACAGAUAAGCUUUGAGAAGAUUUACAAGUAGGGUCAGUGCCGUAGCUAACGCGUUAAGUGCACCGCCAGGGGAGUAUGCCCGCAAGGGUGAAACUCAAAGGAAUUGACGGGGGCCCGCACAAGCGGUGGAGCAUGUGGUUUAAUUCGAUGACACGCGAGAAACCUUACCAGGGCUUGACAUAUUUUCGACGUUCACAGAGAUGUGGAUUUCUCUUCGGAGACGAUUAUACAGGUGCUGCAUGGUUGUCGUCAGCUCGUGCUGUGAAGUGUUGGGUUAAGUCCCGUAACGAGCGCAACCCCUACUGUCUGUUGCCAUCAUUAAGUUGGGGACUCAGACGGUACUGCCGGUGACAAACCGGAGGAAGGUGGGGACGACGUCAAAUCAUCAUGGCCCUUAUGUCCUGGGCUACACACGUGCUACAAUGGCUGGUACAGAGCGACGCGAGACCGCGAGGUGGAGCAAAUCGCAGAAAGCCAGUCCCAGUACAGAUUGAAGUCUGAAACUCGACUUCAUGAAGGUGGAAUCGCUAGUAAUCGCGCAUCAGCAUGGCGCGGUGAAUACGUUCCCGGGCCUUGUACACACCGCCCGUCACACCACCCGAGUUGGGGGUACCCGAAGUCACUAGUCUAACCUGCAAAGGGGGACGGUGCCGAAGGUAUGCUUAGUAAGGGGGGUGAAGUCGUAACAAGGUA
rnacentral:rRNA from 1 species